GGUAUCUCUUGCAAACUCCCCUCGGCUGAUGUGCCAACACGUUGGAACUCCACCUAUGUUAUGUUGGAGUCAGUGCUCCCCUUUCGAAGAGCCUUUCAUGCUUUGGUGCAAAAGGACACGGAUUAUUUGUUUUGUCCGUCCUCGGGAGAGUGGAAAAAUGUUGAAACCGUUUGUGCUAUGUUAAAAGUUUUUCACACAGCCACAAAUGUACUUUCUGCUUCAAGUUAUUAUACCUCAAAAUUGUACUUUCAUCAAAUCUGGAAUGUGUGGUUAUUGCUACAGAAGGAAGCAUCAACAAAGGAUGAAUUUAUUCGAGCAAUGGUUGGAGAGAUGCAAAAAAAAGUUUGA
rnacentral:rRNA from 1 species